rnacentral:rRNA from 1 species
CAGCAGCCACGGGAAUACGUAGGUGGCGAGCGUUGUCCGGAAUCAUUGGGCGUAAAGGGAGCGCAGGCGGGCCGGUAAGUCUUACUUAAAAGUCCGGGGCUUAACCCCGUGAUGGGAUGGAAACUGCCAAUCUAGAGUAUCGGAGAGGAAAGUGGAAUUCCUAGUGUAGCGGUGGAAUGCGUAGAUAUUAGGAAGAACACCAGUGGCGAAGGCGACUUUCUGGACGAAAACUGACGCUGAGGCGCGAAAGCCAGGGGAGCGAACGGGAUUAGAUACCCGCGUAGUCCCUGUCUCUUAUACA